rnacentral:rRNA from 1 species
GCGUGGGUAACCUACCCUGAUCCUGGGAAUAACCCUCGGAAACGAGGGCUAAUACCGAAUGUGGCGAACGACCGGUUGGUCGCUCGCUAAAGGUGGCCUCUUCUAUGCUGACGGGUUGGGAUCGGCCCGCGUCCCAUUAGCUAGUUGGUGAGGUAACGGCUCACCAAGGCCACGAUGGGUAGCCGGCCUGAGACGGUGUACGGCCACACUGGCACUGAGACAAGGGCCAGUCCCCUAUGGGAGGCGCAGGCGGGAAUAGUUCACAAUGGGCGAAAGCCUGAUGACGCGACGCCGCGUGAGCGAAGAAGACCUUCGGGUUGUAAAGCUCUGUCAGGAGGGAAGAAGGCUCUACGGGUUAAUAGCCCGUGGAAUUGACGGUACCUCCAGAGGAAGCCCCGGCUAAAUACGUGCCAGCAGCCGCGGUAAUACGUAUGGGGCAAGCGUUGUCCGGAUUUACUGGGCGUAAAGGGCGCGUAGGCGGUUUGUUAAGUCGAAGGUGAAAUCCUCGGGCUCAACUCGAGAAUUGCCUUCGAUACUGGCAAACUAGAGUGGCGGAGAGGAAAGCGGAACUCUUGGUGUAACGGUGGAAUGUGUAGAUAUCAAGAGGAACACCGGUGGCGAAGGCGGCUUUCUGGACGCACACUGACGCUCAGGCGCGAAAGCGUGGGUAGCAAACAGGAUUAGAUACCCUGGUAGUCCACGCCAUAAACGAUGGGUACUAGGUGUCGGGGGUAUCGACCCCUCCGGUGCCGCAGUUAACGCACUAAGUACCCCGCCUGGGGAUUAUGGUCGCAAGGCUGAAACUCAAAGGAAUUGACGGGGCGCCGCACAAGCGGUGGAGCAUGUGGUUUAAUUCGACGCAACGCGAAGAACCUUACCUUGGCUUGACAUGCUUGGGACAGCGCUGGAAACAGCGUCUCUCCUUCGGGAGCCCUUGCACAGGUGCUGCAUGGCUGUCGUCAGCUCGUGUCGUGAGAUGUUGGGUUAAGUCCCGCAACGAGCGCAACCCUCGUUACUAGUUGCCAUCAGUUCGGCUGGGCACUCUAGUGAGACUGCCGGUGAUAAACCGGAGGAAGGUGAGGAUGAUCUCAAGUCAUCAUGGCCCUUACGCCCAGGGCUACACACGUGCUACAAUGGUCGGCACAAAGGGUCGCUAAGCCGCGAGGUGGAGCUAUUCCCAAAAAACCGGCCUCAGUUCGGAUUGG